UUUGAAAGGGUAUUUUAGGGACUUAGUUUGAUCUGUGGAUAAAAGCGGCCAUUAUUUCUCCAGUGGAUUUGGAAGGAAAAUGGGAGGAUAAGGCAGUCAAUGUGAAAUGGAAAAAGUAAAAAACAAAAUAUUUUUCUAAAAAUUUAAUAACGUUUACCAUUGUAUUGAUUAACUUGAAUAGCUAGGGCGAAGGAAGUAAUAUCAGUUGAGCGCUUUUUAUGUUCAAUUUUCAUGGUUUGGUUUUGAUUUUUGUGGGUAGAAUCUGUAUUUAUGUGCGUGGUUUUCUUCCAUUUGCGUUUUUGUUAUAGAAAAAUGAGUUAAUUUCGGUGCUGUUUUGUUCCUGUUCAAUGCAUGUUUGUAUGGGUUGGUGCCUUUUGUUGUAGCUUGAAUGAAUUUUGCUUUGAUUUUGAUUUGAAAUGUUUAUUUUCAGUGAAUGAUUGUUUGUUGCUUGAUUUGAAUUUGCAUGUGAAUAUCAAAGAUUGGAAGUGUUAACGUGUAUUAUUUUGUUUGGUUGCUGAGAAAACUUAGUGAAAGAUAUGUUUUCUGUUCAUGCUGAAUUGCAAAAGAUGAUAUUUUUGCUUGGGUGUGAUAAAAUCUAGUGUUAGGCUUUCGUUUCUGUCUUUUGGUUUCAAUGUGUACUCGCUUUCAUGUCUUAAUUUUUUAUGGAUUGAUUUGCUUCCAUAUUGAAUUAUUUCAACUAUAGAGAAGUAACAUUUUGAAGCGUACUCGCUCUCACCCAGGCCUCAUUCGGGUGUAUGAUAUUGAUCAGGUCUACAUUAGUGAUUUUAUACCGUCUGAUAUUGCUUUCCUGUUUAAGGGAGAGUAUGAUAUUGUUCGGAAUUUCAUCCUUCACAGCCUUUAGUUGCAGAGCUGGGAGAAAACAAUGGACUGUCAUAGUCCUGGUCAAGGGCUGAUGCCUGCUAGUUUUAAGGUCAUACUGUUCCUCUGGAUGGUGAUGAUUCUACAACAGAAUUACUGGAUCCCAACAUUGGGGAGGCAGAAAUUGACCGUGUUGCACCAGUUGACUCUGGAAUAUGGUGGAUUAUAUUAUAAUGGGCAUCUGAAAAAUGCUCAGGUGAUCUCUCAGUUCUGGGGAGAAUUGAUGUACGAACUGGGAUUAAGAUGAUUCUGAGAUUGUGUCUUGGUGAUGGUUUUGACAUGUUCCCUACAUUAUUGGUUAUUAUUGAUGGUUCUUGCAUGAUAGAUCGUUGAAUGGGAAUUCAUGGUCACCCUCUCGAAAUGCAGGAAACCUGUGGUCUGUUGUCAGCAGUCUUGCCACUGCAGACCACUUUGCAUGCCGUAUUGGAUCUCAUUGAAACUAAAUGGUCAGAUUUAGUAGCAGACAUGCCAUUGAAGAUAUGUUAUCCUGCCCUUGAAGGUCAGGAGUGGCAAAUUAUCACAGGCAGUGAUCCUAAGAACAUCUUACCGUUGCGUGCAGUAAGAUGAAUAGACCAGAAAUUGCUGCAAAAGCUGUUCAGGUAGCUGAAAAAUGCAUAGCACGUGACAAGUGGCCUGAAUGUUAUGACACCAAAAGAGCAACAUGCGAUGGAAGACAAUCACACCCGUUCCAGAACUGGUCAAUUGCUUCAUUCCUUGUGGCAAAGCUUCUGCUUGCAGAUGGAACUGCUGCUAAAAUUUUAGUUAACUGAGGAUUCUGAGCCGGUCAACACUUUCUCUUGUAUGAUCAGUGCCAAUCCAAGGAGAAAUCACAGACAGAAGAAUCCGAACAAAACCUAUAUAUGUCAUAUGAGUUUAAGUCCACCUAAGACACUGUAGGAAUUCUCCUAAUUUAUCUGAAACGGCUACAUAGUCCUUAUUCUUGUAUCAUAGCAUUAUUUUGUAAAGAUUAUUUAUUCUGAUUUAGGAAUAACAUAGCUCUUGAAACGAUGGUACAUAAUAGAUAACAUUAUUUGCCUCA